GUAAGCCGGAUAAGCUAACUUUCGAGGUUCCUUCGGAUUAAAUUCCAAAGAAGUAAAAAUUAUGACUUCUGGAUCCUUGAGGAAGGUCCGCCCACCAAAGACGAUAUUUGAGCCAUUCUUCGAAAGAAGAAUUGCCGCGAGGCAAAGCUCUGCUACAGAAACGACACAGCUUGUUUAGAGUGAUGAACGAUGCCGUGAACUUUGAAAAACAAGAUAUGAUGAAACGAGCAACUUGGCUGGUGCAAGGGAAUAAAUUCCCGCUUAGUCAAAUGUUAGCAUGUUCUGUUUGCGAAAGCAAAGAACAACAGAAGGUGGCCUAUUCCGGCUUAU
rnacentral:RNase_P_RNA from 1 species